GGGUUGUGAGGUUAAGCGACUAAGCGUACACGGUGGAUGCCCUGGCAGUCAGAGGCGAUGAAGGGCGUGCUAAUCUGCGAUAAGCGCCGGUAAGGUGAUAUGAACCGUUAUAACCGGCGAUACCCGAAUGGGGAAACCCAGUGUGACUCGUCACACUAUCAUUAACUGAAUCCAUAGGUUAAUGAGGCGAACCGGGGGAACUGAAACAUCUAAGUACCCCGAGGAAAAGAAAUCAACCGAGAUUCCCCCCAGUAGCGGCGAGCGAACGGGGAGGAGCCCAGAGCCUGAAUCAGCAUGUGUGUUAGUGGAAGCGUCUGGAAAGGCGCGCGAUACAGGGUGACAGCCCCGUACACAAAAGCGCAUGUGCUGUGAGCUCGAUGAGUAGGGCGGGACACGUGGUAUCCUGUCUGAAUAUGGGGGGACCAUCCUCCAAGGCUAAAUACUCCUGACUGACCGAUAGUGAACCAGUACCGUGAGGGAAAGGCGAAAGAACCCCGGCGAGGGGAGUGAAAAGAACCUGAAACCGUGUACGUACAAGCAGUGGGAGCACAGGUUUACCUGUGUGACUGCGUACCUUUUGUAUAAUGGGUCAGCGACUUAUAUUCUGUAGCAAGGUUAACCGAAUAGGGGAGCCGGAGGGAAACCGAGUCUUAAUUGGGCGUUAAGUUGCAGGGUAUAGACCCGAAACCCGGUGAUCUAGCCAUGGGCAGGUUGAAGGUUGGGUAACACUAACUGGAGGACCGAACCGACUAAUGUUGAAAAAUUAGCGGAUGACCUGUGGCUGGGGGUGAAAGGCCAAUCAAACCGGGAGAUAGCUGGUUCUCCCCGAAAGCUAUUUAGGUAGCGCCUCGUGAAUUCAUCUCCGGGGUAGAGCACUGUUUCGGCUAGGGGGGCAUCCCGGCUUACCAACCCGAUGCAAACUGCGAAUACCGGAGAAUGUUAUCACGGGAGACACACGGCGGGUGCUAACGUCCGUCGUGAAGAGGGAAACAACCCAGACCGCCAGCUAAGGUCCCAAAGUCAUGGUUAAGUGGGAAACGAUGUGGGAAGGCCCAGACAGCCAGGAUGUUGGCUUAGAAGCAGCCAUCAUUUAAAGAAAGCGUAAUAGCUCACUGGUCGAGUCGGCCUGCGCGGAAGAUGUAACGGGGCUAAACCAUGCACCGAAGCUGCGGCAGCGACGCUGAUGCGUUGUUGGGUAGGGGAGCGUUCUGUAAGCCUGUGAAGGUGUGUCGUGAGGCAUGCUGGAGGUAUCAGAAGUGCGAAUGCUGACAUAAGUAACGAUAAAGCGGGUGAAAAGCCCGCUCGCCGGAAGACCAAGGGUUCCUGUCCAACGUUAAUCGGGGCAGGGUGAGUCGACCCCUAAGGCGAGGCCGAAAGGCGUAGUCGAUGGGAAACAGGUUAAUAUUCCCGUACUUGGUGUUACUGCGAAGGGGGGACGGAGAAGGCUAUGUUGGCCGGGCGACGGUUGUCCCGGUUUAAGCGUGUAGGCUGGUUUUCCAGGCAAAUCCGGAAAAUCAAGGCUGAGGCGUGACGACGAGGCACUACGGUGCUGAAGCAACAAAUGCCCUGCUUCCAGGAAAAGCCUCUAAGCAUCAGGUAACAUCAAAUCGUACCCCAAACCGACACAGGUGGUCAGGUAGAGAAUACCAAGGCGCUUGAGAGAACUCGGGUGAAGGAACUAGGCAAAAUGGUGCCGUAACUUCGGGAGAAGGCACGCUGACACGUAGGUGAAGUGAUUUACUCACGGAGCUGAAGUCAGUCGAAGAUACCAGCUGGCUGCAACUGUUUAUUAAAAACACAGCACUGUGCAAACACGAAAGUGGACGUAUACGGUGUGACGCCUGCCCGGUGCCGGAAGGUUAAUUGAUGGGGUCAGCGCAAGCGAAGCUCCUGAUCGAAGCCCCGGUAAACGGCGGCCGUAACUAUAACGGUCCUAAGGUAGCGAAAUUCCUUGUCGGGUAAGUUCCGACCUGCACGAAUGGCGUAAUGAUGGCCAGGCUGUCUCCACCCGAGACUCAGUGAAAUUGAACUCGCUGUGAAGAUGCAGUGUACCCGCGGCAAGACGGAAAGACCCCGUGAACCUUUACUAUAGCUUGACACUGAACAUUGAGCCUUGAUGUGUAGGAUAGGUGGGAGGCUUUGAAGUGUGGACGCCAGUCUGCAUGGAGCCGACCUUGAAAUACCACCCUUUAAUGUUUGAUGUUCUAACGUGGACCCGUAAUCCGGGUUGCGGACAGUGUCUGGUGGGUAGUUUGACUGGGGCGGUCUCCUCCUAAAGAGUAACGGAGGAGCACGAAGGUUGGCUAAUCCUGGUCGGACAUCAGGAGGUUAGUGCAAUGGCAUAAGCCAGCUUGACUGCGAGCGUGACGGCGCGAGCAGGUGCGAAAGCAGGUCAUAGUGAUCCGGUGGUUCUGAAUGGAAGGGCCAUCGCUCAACGGAUAAAAGGUACUCCGGGGAUAACAGGCUGAUACCGCCCAAGAGUUCAUAUCGACGGCGGUGUUUGGCACCUCGAUGUCGGCUCAUCACAUCCUGGGGCUGAAGUAGGUCCCAAGGGUAUGGCUGUUCGCCAUUUAAAGUGGUACGCGAGCUGGGUUUAGAACGUCGUGAGACAGUUCGGUCCCUAUCUGCCGUGGGCGCUGGAGAACUGAGGGGGGCUGCUCCUAGUACGAGAGGACCGGAGUGGACGCAUCACUGGUGUUCGGGUUGUCAUGCCAAUGGCACUGCCCGGUAGCUAAAUGCGGAAGAGAUAAGUGCUGAAAGCAUCUAAGCACGAAACUUGCCCCGAGAUGAGUUCUCCCUGAGACUUAAAGUCUCCUGAAGGAACGUUGAAGACGACGACGUUGAUAGGCCGGGUGUGUAAGCGCAGCGAUGCGUUGAGCUAACCGGUACUAAUGAACCGUGAGGCUUAACCUUACAACGCCGAAG
rnacentral:rRNA from 1 species